CACGUAGGGCGCAAGCGUUGUCCGGAAUUAUUGGGCGUAAAGAGCUCGUAGGCGGUCUGUUGCGUCCGCUGUGAAAACUCGGGGCUUAACCCCGAGCCUGCAGUGGAUACGGGCAGACUAGAGGUAGGUAGGGGAGAAUGGAAUUCCCGGUGUAGCGGUGAAAUGCGCAGAUAUCGGGAGGAACACCGGUGGCGAAGGCGGCCUUCUGGACUGACACUGACGCUGAGGCGCGAAAGCCAGGGGAGCAAACGGG
rnacentral:rRNA from 1 species